AGCAGGUCCUCAGCCCAUGCCGUCCACUGGGCCUCAGACCACAGGGAAGGGGCUCUGGCAGAAACAGUGGCGUCGCAUUGCCAGCCGGGCGGGCACGUGGCCCAGGCAGCUGUGAUUUCUCGUGUCCCCCACGUGGCCCAAGGGUUGCCCUAGAGAGAAAACAGGCAAAGUCACAGGUUAGAAGACACUGAAACAGGGCUGGUGUGUCCCCCCCAGUCUGCAUUCUGUGUUGGAGCAUUCUUUGGCAGAAGGAGCCUCAGGCUGCGGGGAGCUCCCCUGGAGAUGGGACUGGCCCUUGCACCUGCCUGACCCUGGAGCUCCAGGCUCCUGCCGGCUGGAGGUGAAACUGUGCUUGUGUCCCCAGCCACGAAGAGCUGGACCAGCCUCAGGUACAUGUCAACAGCAACAUGCAGGAAGGCCUCUUCCCUGAUGGCCGCGUCGUCGUGGAAGUAGGAGAGAAGACUAGAAAUAGACAUGGUGACGAGUGGCUGCAGACUGCUGGAAAGGUAGCAGGUGAUGCCAAGGGAUGCUGCUGCUCUGUGCGGCAGAGGCACAGGCAACCCUUCCCCUCUGGCGGGAGAGCCAGAGCUGCUAAGAUGGGGUCUGGGAAACACUGCCCCUGCCCUGACCAUGCACGGCUGUGCCCUGCUCCCUGAGCAGCCUGUAGGUGAAGGUACCUGUAGAACGUGAAGGGCAGCAGCCUGGUAUGCUGGUCCGGGGCCACGCGGAGGAGGAGUCGCCCCAGCCUGAGGUCUGCAACACCAAGAGGUGGCUCAGGCAACUCUGGACGUCUCUGCCUGUUACCAGUGCUGGGGGACACCCCUGGGGGUUGGGACGUGUACCCUGGGAGGCCUGGCUGUGGGGGGGGGGGGGUGCGGAGCAAACAGCCUGAGCCAAGGAUACCUGGGCACCCGUCAGCAGCUGGGAGAGGAAGGGGGUGUGGGGCAGAGAGAGGCAGUCCCCACGAUAGGCCAUUGGUCCUGGGGUUGACCAGUGAGCCAGUAAAUUAUCUUACACGUUUGUACUUAAUCUGUCCCAACUGAAACGGAACUUACAAACUUAGGAGAAAGAUAGUCAUGAAAAUGAAUGAGUGAACCUCAAGGAGGGCACGUUCUUAACCAUUUGAAAGUUGCGUCUGAAAAGAGCAGCCCUCCGCAUCCGCGCCUCAGCAGUGUUUCUCACCACUCUCUGUCAACUGGAAGAGCGCCAGCCAGGAUAUCUUCCUCUUCUCUAAACACUCGAGGACUGCAGCACAAACAUCUAAAGCCUUUGAUGGGUCCGUGGCACUCUGUAAACCGCAGGAGAGCAACCCUGAGAAUGGCCGACCUGCUGUGCUCCCGCGGGUAGGAGGGCACAGUCCUCAGCACAGAAGGCAUUUCUUCUUUGCUUACUGAAAGUCUUAAAACUGGUGACAACCUAUGGAAGAUAACACUGGGCCUCUGGACAGAAGAGGCUCAGGUAGGAGGCCAGGGACUUCAAGCACCCACACCAAGGCUGCUGCACCACGUCCUGAAAUAAGGCAUUAAAAGAAAGGUCCUGCCGGGCGCGGUGGCUCAGCCUGUAAUCCCA